rnacentral:rRNA from 1 species
GUGGGGAAUAUUGGACAAUGGGGGGAACCCUGAUCCAACCAUGCCGCGUGUGUGAAGAAGGCCUUUUGGUUGUAAAGCACUUUAAGCGAGGAGGAGGCUACCGAGAUUAAUACUCUUGGAUAGUGGACGUUACUCGCAGAAUAAGCACCGGCUAACUCUGUGCCAGCAGCCGCGGUAAUACAGAGGGUGCAAGCGUUAAUCGGAUUUACUGGGCGUAAAGCGCGCGUAGGUGGCCAAUUAAGUCAAAUGUGAAAUCCCCGAGCUUAACUUGGGAAUUGCAUUCGAUACUGGUUGGCUAGAGUAUGGGAGAGGAUGGUAGAAUUCCAGGUGUAGCGGUGAAAUGCGUAGAGAUCUGGAGGAAUACCGAUGGCGAAGGCAGCCAUCUGGCCUAAUACUGACACUGAGGUGCGAAAGCAUGGGGAGCAAACAGGAUUAGAAACCCCUGUAGUCC